rnacentral:rRNA from 1 species
AUUGAACGCUGGCGGCAGGCCUAACACAUGCAAGUCGAACGGUAACAGGAAGCAGCUUGCUGCUUUGCUGACGAGUGGCGGACGGGUGAGUAAUGUCUGGGAAACUGCCUGAUGGAGGGGGAUAACUACUGGAAACGGUGGCUAAUACCGCAUAACGUCGCAAGACCAAAGAGGGGGACCUUCGGGCCUCUUGCCAUCAGAUGUGCCCAGAUGGGAUUAGCUUGUUGGUGAGGUAACGGCUCACCAAGGCGACGAUCCCUAGCUGGUCUGAGAGGAUGACCAGCCACACUGGAACUGAGACACGGUCCAGACUCCUACGGGAGGCAGCAGUGGGGAAUAUUGCACAAUGGGCGCAAGCCUGAUGCAGCCAUGCCGCGUGUAUGAAGAAGGCCUUCGGGUUGUAAAGUACUUUCAGCGGGGAGGAAGGUGUUGUGGUUAAUAACCNCAGCAAUUGACGUUACCCGCAGAAGAAGCACCGGCUAACUCCGUGCCAGCAGCCGCGGUAAUACGGAGGGUGCAAGCGUUAAUCGGAAUUACUGGGCGUAAAGCGCACGCAGGCGGUCUGUCAAGUCGGAUGUGAAAUCCCCGGGCUCAACCUGGGAACUGCAUUCGAAACUGGCAGGCUUGAGUCUUGUAGAGGGGGGUAGAAUUCCAGGUGUAGCGGUGAAAUGCGUAGAGAUCUGGAGGAAUACCGGUGGCGAAGGCGGCCCCCUGGACAAAGACUGACGCUCAGGUGCGAAAGCGUGGGGAGCAACAGGAUUAGAUACCCUGGUAGUCCACGCCGUAAACGAUGUCUACUUGGAGGUUGUGCCCUUGAGGCGUGGCUUCCGGAGCUAACGCGUUAAGUAGACCGCCUGGGGAGUACGGCCGCAAGGUUAAAACUCAAAUGAAUUGACGGGGGCCCGCACAAGCGGUGGAGCAUGUGGUUUAAUUCGAUGCAACGCGAAGAACCUUACCUGGUCUUGACAUCCACAGAACUUUCCAGAGAUGGAUUGGUGCCUUCGGGAACUGUGAGACAGGUGCUGCAUGGCUGUCGUCAGCUCGUGUUGUGAAAUGUUGGGUUAAGUCCCGCAACGAGCGCAACCCUUAUCCUUUGUUGCCAGCGGUCCGGNCGGGAACUCAAAGGAGACUGCCAGUGAUAAACUGGAGGAAGGUGGGGAUGACGUCAAGUCAUCAUGGCCCUUACGACCAGGGCUACACACGUGCUACAAUGGCGCAUACAAAGAGAAGCGACCUCGCGAGAGCAAGCGGACCUCAUAAAGUGCGUCGUAGUCCGGAUUGGAGUCUGCAACUCGACUCCAUGAAGUCGGAAUCGCUAGUAAUCGUGGAUCAGAAUGCCACGGUGAAUACGUUCCCGGGCCUUGUACACACCGCCCGUCACACCAUGGGAGUGGGUUGCAAAAGAAGUAGGUAGCUUAACCUUCGGGAGGGCGCUUACCACUUUGUGAUUCAUGACUGGGGUGAAG